rnacentral:rRNA from 1 species
UACGUAGGCAGCGAGCGUUGUUCGGAGUUACUGGGCGUAAAGAGUGCGUAGGCGGUUUUCUAAGUUUGGUGUGAAAUCUCCCGGCUUAACUGGGAGGGUGCGCCGAAAACUGGAAGGCUUGAGUAUGGGAGAGGUAAGCGGAAUUCCUGGCGUAGCGGUGAAAUGCGUAGAUAUCAGGAGGAACACCUGCGGUGUAGACGGCUUACUGGACCAUAACUGACGCUGAGGCACGAAAGCGUGGGUAGCAAACAGG